rnacentral:rRNA from 1 species
CCGUUGCCGGCGACCGGCGCACGGGUGAGUAACACGUAUGCAACCUGCCCGUGGCAGGGGGAUAAGCGGGGGAAACCCCGUCUAAUACCGCGUAACGCGGCCUAGGGACAUCCCAAGGCCGCCAAAGGGAGCAAUCCCGGCCACGGAUGGGCAUGCGGCGCAUUAGCUAGUCGGCGGGGUAACGGCCCACCGAGGCGACGAUGCGUAGGGGUUCUGAGAGGAAGGUCCCCCACACUGGUACUGAGACACGGACCAGACUCCUACGGGAGGCAGCAG